rnacentral:rRNA from 1 species
UGGUGGGUAGUUUGACUGGGGCGGUCUCCUCCCAAAGCGUAACGGAGGAGCACGAAGGUUAGCUAAUCCUGGUCGGACAUCAGGAGGUUAGUGCAAUGGCAUAAGCUAGCUUGACUGCGAGCGUGACGGCGCGAGCAGGUGCGAAAGCAGGUCAUAGUGAUCCGGUGGUUCUGAAUGGAAGGGCCAUCGCUCAACGGAUAAAAGGUACUCCGGGGAUAACAGGCUGAUACCGCCCAAGAGUUCAUAUCGACGGCGGUGUUUGGCACCUCGAUGUCGGCUCAUCACAUCCUGGGGCUGAAGUAGGUCCCAAGGGUAUGGCUGUUCGCCAUUUAAAGUGGUACGCGAGCUGGGUUUAGAACGUCGUGAGACAGUUCGGUCCCUAUCUGCCGUGGGCGCUGGAGAAUUGAGGGGGGCUGCUCCUAGUACGAGAGGACCGGAGUGGACGCAUCACUGGUGUUCGGGUUGUCAUGCCAAUGGCACUGCCCGGUAGCUAAAUGCGGAAGAGAUAAGUGCUGAAAGCAUCUAAGCACGAAACUUGCCCCGAGAUGAGUUCUCCCUGAGACUUUAA